rnacentral:precursor_RNA from 9 species
AUUUAAGUAAAAGAGUGUGUUGUACGUGACAGGCGGAACGAGAGCAACUUUGAUAACUUUUGUCCCCAAAUUGCACUCGUCCCGGCCUGCCGCGCUCGGCAUUCCGACGUCUAGCUGCAC